rnacentral:rRNA from 1 species
UACGAAGGGGGGCUAGCGUUGUUCGGAUUUACUGGGCGUAAAGCGCACGUAGGCGGAUUGUUAAGUCGGGGGGUGAAAUCCUGGAGCUCAACUCCAGAAUUGCCUUCGAUACUGGCUUUCUAGAGGCUGGAAGAGGUUAGUGGAAUUCCCAGUGUAGAGGUGAAAUUCGUAGAUAUUGGGAAGAACACCAGUGGCGAAGGCAGCCAUCUGGACCGACACUGACGCUGAGGCGCGAAAGCGUGGGGAGCAAACAGG